rnacentral:rRNA from 1 species
CUCAGUUCGGAUUGAAGGCUGAAAUUCGCCUUCAUGAAGCCGGAAUUGCUAGUAAUGGCAGGUCAGCAUACUGCCGUGAAUACGUUCCCGGGCCUUGUACACACCGCCCGUCACACCAUGAGAGUUGGGAAUACCCGAAGCCUGUGAGCUAACUUUUAGAGGCAGCAGUCGAAGGUAGAAUCAAUGAUUGGGGUGAAGUCGUAACAAGGUACC